rnacentral:lncRNA from 10 species
AUGAGGAAACUGAAGCGAAAGAAUGUUGACUAAUUUUGUCAAGGUCACACAACUGCUCUCUUUGGUGACUUCCUGAAGCUUGAAGUAUCUUCCUUGGGAGACGUAUUAUAGAAUUUGAAAUCCCACUGGCCAGAUCUCAGCAUGUAGUUUCAUCCCAACUCUACAGAAGUCUGGAAAAUACAGAGAGAACAUGCUCUUUCCCUAGGAAGAAGAGAUGAGAGCUCCAUCUCUCUGCUGGUGGAAGGAGAGGUUGUCUUUCCCUUCCCAUAGGGCAAGAAGAGCUGCCUCCACAUCCUCCUUCUGCUGUAGCUGAAGAGCCUGUUUAAAGGAACAUCCUGAUGGGGCUCAGCCUUUUGACCCCCAGAAAACAUGGCUUUGUCUGCCAUCCUGCAGCUCAUCAUGGGAGCCUGCAAAGUGGUUGGGGGCAGCACACACCAGCAUGCUGUGAAGAGAGGAAAGAGCUGCCGGGAUAACAACCCCGCAGCCACCAUAAUGACUCAGAUUAGAACACAAGGGAACACCAGCCAUUUUUUAGUCUGUCAGUUUUUCUAUUAUCCUCAAGACUGAGCAUGAAACAUUCAUUAUAACACGUCCUUAUUGAUUCAACUGAUGGAAAUAUAUUGGUAUUAAUAACACGAAACUCUAAGGCACUGAGGAUAAUAAAAUGAUUGCG